rfam:Streptomyces sp. 769, complete genome.
UCCGACCGGCCGGACACGCAUGUGACCGGCCCACAAGUGGAGGCUCCGAUCUCCCACCCGACCGAUCUCAGGUUGGCGGGUCAACGGUCUGGCUGCGCCCCGCGGAGAUUUCGCGGCGGUGCUCCUGAUCCACGUGGAGCCCCGCCUGUGUCCCGUCCGGGGCGUUUUUC